rnacentral:tRNA from 1 species
GCCUGGGUGGCUCAGUCGGUUAAGCAUCUGACUUCGGCUCAGGUCAUGAUCUCGCGGUCCGUGAGUUCAAGCCCCGCAUCAGGCA